AUUUUGGACAAUGUGCGCAAGCCUGAUCCAGCCAUGCCGCGUGAGUGAAGAAGGCCCUCGGGUUGNAAUGCUCUUUCGGACGGAAANAAAUCGCCCAGGCUAAUACCCUGCGCUGAUGACGGUACCGUCAUAAGAAGCACCGGCUACCUACGUGCCAGCACCCGCGGGAAUACGUAUGGUGCGAGCGUUAACCGGAAUUACUUGGCGUAAAGCGUGCGGAGGAGGUUGAUUAAGACAGACGUCAAUUGCCCGGGCUUAACCUGGGAACUGCGCUUGUGACUGGUAAGCUAGAGUACGGCAGAGGGCGGUGGAAUGCCACGUGUAGCAGUGAAAUGCGUAGAGAUAUGGAAGAACACCGAUGGCGAAGGCAGCACCCUGGGCCGAUACUGACGCUCAUGCACGAAAGCGUGAGUAGCAAACAGG
rnacentral:rRNA from 1 species